rnacentral:misc_RNA from 1 species
UUUUUUACAAGAAAUCUAGCUCUUGGGUUAUAUCAACACAUAUAUAUAUAAAUGCAAUACACCAAUACUUGCCGGCCGGAGAAGGACGGCGAAGAGGGAGAGAAGUAGGGCAUGAGAAUAAAAAACAACAAUACUGUUCUUUGGUAGAGACAAAUUAUUCCCAUAUAUAUAUAUAAUUGAUCUUGAAGAUCCAGUCAAUUAAUACAAGAGAUGAAUGAAACACUGCAAUUACAUGUAAAAAAAAACACACAGCAAUUACAAAGAAAACUGAAAUAAUUAAUCAUCUUCUCCUCACAAUUUUCUUCCCUUAUAACAAGAAAUAAUGAACAUAGAUACAUCAGGAAAUCUUAACAACAGAAAGAUCUAGUGCAAAGAAAAGGCAAUUCAAUAUAUUGAAAAAUGGGAAGAACGUGCACUAUCAUCAUGAUCAGUUUUCAGUAACAUAAUAAUAAGAAGCACAAGAACUCAAAAAAUUUCAUAUAUACAUACAGAAUUAAUAUCAAGAAUUCUUCAGAUGCUUUUUGAACCCGUGAGUAAAUAAAUGGUAGAUGAUAUGAUGAUAAUGCUUCAUUUUUUGCUGUCUUGAAUCACUAUAUAUCUCAAGAAGUUACAAGAUAUAACCAAAAAAAGGAAACUAGCACAAGAAAGGAAAUAAAAUUAAGUACACAAAUAGAGCUACGAUUGCCUGGCUCCAUCCUGUCUGCCUUUUUCUAUCCUAUGACGGAAUGUUCUUGUUGUUGAGUUGAGAGUUGAGAGAGAAAAAGAGAAAAGGAGAGUUACAUUUUAGUAAUAGUUCUCUUCCACACACCCUUUAAUGCAAUUUGCACUAAAAUGACCUCUGAUUUCCAAAGGGAUGUUUGUAGGCAAGCCCUCACUGGCAAGGGCAGAAUUGUCAUACCAUCUUGCCUAGAAGAAAAUGAUCCAAAUGGGUGGUUGAGAGAGAUGAGAAGUGCUUGUCCUCUUGAGCCAUUUCUGAUAUAUUGUGGUUUAAGGGCAGCCCCACCAGUAAUUCUUGGAGACUUUCCCUCCAUUCUCUGUCACAAAGGAAUGGAA